ACCUUUAUUAUUUUGUUUAUUUUUCUCUAUUGUUAAUGUUUACUGUACUGCUGUCUUUUUGCUGCUGUAGUAAAGAAACGUCCCCAAUUGUGGGACAAUAAAGGUAUACUGAUUCUAAAAAAUCAAUAAUUUGCUGGGGUUUGUUUCAAACAAUCAUGUUCUCUUAUGUCAGGAGAAUUAGAUGAAGCACCACACAGCUUCAUUUAUAUUAUAUGUUCCGACACAUUUUACAUUCAUCAUAAAAAUGUAGCAUCUACGAUUGGGAAAUUGGCCAUAUUGUUAUACUGAUAAUAUUAUAAGUAUUUGUUCAGUACUCAUUAGUAAGUGUUGAGCCAGAAACAUUAAAUCAUUUUGUCAGAAAUCUCUUACAACCUUUGUUAAAUAAUUUCUUGAGCUAAUUAACCAUGGGCUGUCUGUGGUAAGAGGUCUCAUUAGCUCAGUCAGUAAUCCAUUCCUGCCUCACAGGCACAGAGUACAGUAACUUUGUGCUCAAAUGAAAGUUCUUAAUCCAAAAAAAAACUCUAUGGUGGCUUCUUCUAUUUAACAUUAACCCCAACCUGAGGGAAGGAAAUAGGUCAAAUCAAUAAAAUCUGCAGUUAGAACCAGUUUGGAAGUAGAUUUCAACAAAACCUGAUAAAAUGCAAACAGAGUAACCUACAUUAGGAAUAAAAAGAAUGGAAAAAUAAAAUAAAAACUGAAUUAAAUGAAAAAACUAAAUUACAAAGAUGAAUAAUAAAAAAGCUCCAGUAUGUCACUAUUCAACAACUAGCCUAACAAAAUCCAAGCUAGAUUUAGCCUAAUAAAUGUCUAAAAUAUGAUAAUAUCAGUUUGUGUAGAACAGUGUUCUUCAAUCAUGGCUCCCUGCCCCAACACAGCUGAAUAAAAUGAAUGUGUCCUUAUCAGGCUUCAGCAGAGCCUGACAAUCAGCUCAUCAUUUAAAGGUGUGCUGGGGCAGGGAAACAUCUAAAACAUGCAGAGCAGAGGUCCUGGAGGAGCAGGACUGAAGAACACUGCUAUCCAGGGAGCACUACUCAGCCCAGACUCUCUCAAAAUAUCACCACCAAACUGGCGCUAAUACAAUAUGAAUGUCAGGUACGCUCCAUGGAGUGACUACAAGCUGUAAGUCUGUAUUCGGAUGCUGCUCAGAUACGAUAUUGCUCUUUUUGAACCAUCUAUUUUAGUGUAAUGGUGAAAACCAGGUCGGUACAAAAAUUCUUUCAAGUAUUGCAGACACACUUGUUUUCUCCUUAGUUUUGUCUCUAACACCUGUCUAUCUGUUUCUCUCGAGGUGUAAAUGAUCCAGGACACCUUUUUUCAGGUGGUAUCGCUGGUUAAUCCAGCCAAAGAGAUCAUUCUGUCCAAAGUUCCUCCGUUCAUUAGUGAUGAAAUGUUGCACUGGCGAGACAUGGACAGUUAACAUCCAGUCAGGCUGAUACCUCUGGGCUGUAAAUCUCAACACCAGAAACAUGUUGUCUCCUUCAGAAGGCAAAAUCUUCAUGAUUCUGAAGAACAACACUGAAGAGUUAAACUUGAUGUUGAAGUUCAGGGUGGAUGACUUUAAUUAUACUGUUUAUGCGUCUUCUGAGAGGAUGAAGUGUUUUGGCUGUGGAGUGGAGGGACACCUCAUUUGGACCUGUCCACAGAAAAAGGAUGCUUGUACAAGUAAUGGUGAGACUGCAGCACCAGGUCCAGAACAAGAACUCACAGCAGACUGAGCAUCAAGGGGAUGCUGGUUCAGGUUCUGUUGGUUCACAGGCUGGUGGUUCAGGUGCGAUCGGCACAGUUUUUGAUGAUAAUGGUGCUGCUGAGCUGGGUUCCAUUGAUUCAGGUACAGCUGGUCAAGUUUCUAUUGAUUCAGGUGCUGUUGUGGAGGUGACUGAUCAGUCACACUGACAGUAUUAACAGAGACACAGUGGACACACACACUGAAACUAAGGAAUGUCCUCUGGAGGAGGAAGGUGACACGUUGGUUGAUGAAACCUCCAUGAAGAUGAAAGUGAGCAGUGGCGUGUGUCAGCCUUCUGGGAAAGUGAAGAAAGUGUCUCUUCACAGUGACUAUGCUAUGGGAGACAGAAGAAUAGGCAGCUUGAAUAUAAAUGGAGCAAGGGAUGAUGAGAAAAGGGCUUCAACUUCAAAGAAACUUUUGUCUUUUUUAGGAAAAAAUACCAAAGUAUGAAAUUUGAGUUUGUGUCUUUACAACAGUGGUGGGAUUUUGGUAAAGUCCAAAUGGUGCAACUCUGUCAGCAGUACACUCAGAAUGUCAAGAAGGGUCUGGAGUCUGAAGUGGAGGAACUCUGAGACCUAUCUGGGGCCACCGGAGACCUGAACCAUACUGAGACACUGAGAGCUAAAAAGUCUCUUUUAGCCAACUUGCUGGGUGUCUCAGCUCAGGGGAUUCUGGUUUGGUCCUGCUUCCAGACUGUAGCCCAGAUGGAUGCUCCAUCCAUCCAUGCACUUCUUCUUUGGUCUGGAGCGUAAGAAUGGACAGAAAGUCCAGUGCCCAGUGUCAGACAGUUUAAGGUUUGACACUGGGCAGGUGCUGACUGAUCACACUGCAAUCCAAAAACAUGCUGUCACCUUUUACCGUGAGCUGGUCAAAUGUGAGUGCAGACAGGAGCAGGCAGCAUUUCACAGCAUCUACACUGGACUUCCUCAGGCUGAGCAGCAGAGUAGCAGAGUAGCAGCUCUCUCCUCUGAUGAGCUCUAUGCUGCUCUGCAGAGCAUGCAGAGUGGGAAAGCUCCAGGAAUAGACGGCCUACCUGUUUACUUUAACAAGUGUUUCUGGUCGGUGGUGGGAAGGGAUCUGCUUUCAUUUCUGAGUGACAGUCUCACCGCUGAGCUGCAGGAGGGCGUUCCUGACCUUACAGCCUAAGAAAGGUGACCUGCAGCUCAUUAAAAACUGGAGGCCUGUGUCGCUGCUCUGCUCCGACAAUAAGCUCCUUUCCAAGGUGUUGGCGACCAGGCCGAGCAGUGAUUCAGUGUGAUCAGACCUACUGCACCUCAGGCAGGAUGAUAUCUGAUAAUAUCUUUUUAAUUUGUGACAUUUUAGAUAUCAGUAAGAUGUUUGGCCUCAAAGCUGGCAUCAUAUCAACUGAUCGAGAAAAAGCUUUCGAUCGUGUCAAACGUGAAUAUUUAUGGAUUACGUUGAGUUCUUUUGGUUUUAGUCCUGGUUUUAUUGGUAAGAUUAAGGUUUCAUAUUGUGACAUUCAGUGCAUCCUGAAGAUAAAUGAUGGUUUGAGCACAUUUCAUGUUCAGAGGGGAGUUAGACAAGGCUGCACCCUCUCUGGCAUGUUAUACUCUUUAGCAAUUGAGACUUUGUUGCGCAAACUUUAAAAUUGUCAGCCUAUGCAGAUGACGUGGUCAUCCUGGCGGACAGCCAGCAGGAUACUGAUGUGUUGGUAAGAGAUGUCAUCCAGUUCGGCUCAAUACUCUCAGCUCUCAGUGUUGGUGGAGUGGAGAGGAAGCUUAGUUUGCCUGGGGGGUCGAUCUAGAAGACGAGGGGCUGAAAUAUUUAGGAGUGUUUCGGUAAUCCUUCGUUUGCUCUUAACUGGGAGAAUGUUCCCGAAAAAGUUAAAGGCCAUUUAGUAAGGUGGAAAUGGAAGAAAACUAAAAUGUCAUACAGAGGUCGAGUGCUCAUGACCAACAAUUUAGUAUCGUCCACUUUAUGGCAUCGCCUGUCAUGUGUUGACCCCCCCACCUGAUCUGCUGUCAAAGAUCCAGGCUCUUCUUGUGGACUUCUUCAGGGACACAUUACACUGGGUGCCUCAGAGUGUGCUGUAUCUGCUGAGGACUGACGGAGGAAGGCACCGAUCCACCUGAUUAGCAGAAGGAACAGAAUAGAGCCAGCCGUGGAUGAUGAUGAUGAUGCUGUUUUUGUUUUUGUAAAAAUGCUGAAAGCCCGUUUGAAAAUAGAUUUGAAUUAUUAUAGAAUGAUGAAAGAUCUGGAAACAUUUUACAGUGUGUGGUGUUAUAAACAUGUGCUCUGCUGUGUUUUUUAUUGUGGUUUUAGAAUAU